UUUCGGCGUUGAAUCCAAUUGAACCGCAGGCUUCACCCCUUGUGGUGCUCCCCCGCCAAUUCCUUUAAGUUUCAUACUUGCGUACGUACUUCCCAGGCGGCAAACUUAACGGCUUCCCUGCAGCACUGCAUUGGCCAUAAGCCAAUGCAUCACUGAGUUUGCAUAGUUUACAGCUGGGACUACCCGGGUAUCUAAUCCGGUUUGCUCCCCCAGCUUUCAUCCCUCACCGUCGAACGUGUUCUGGUAGACCGCCUUCGCCACAGGUGGUCAUCAAGAGAUCAAAGGAUUUUACCCCUUCCUCCCGAGUACCGUCUACCUCUCCCACUUCCUAGUUAUGCAGUAUUCCCGGCAGCCCAUACGUUAAGCGCAUGGAUUUAACCGAAAACUUACAAAACGAGCUACGGAUGCUUUAGGCCCAAUAAUCAUCCUGACCACUUGAGGUGCUGGUUUUACCGCGGCGGCUGACACCAGAACUUGCCCACCCCUUAUUCGUUAGUGUUUCUAGGACUGACAAAAGGUUUCUUUAGCAGAAACCACUCGGAUUAACCUUGUCGUGCUUUCGCACAUUGCAAAGUUUUCUCGCCUGCUGCGCCCCAUAGGGCCUGGGUCCGUGUCUCAGUACCCAUCUCCGGGCUACUCCUCUCAGAGCCCGUACCUGUAAUAGUCUUGGUGGGCCAUUACCUCACCAACAAACUGAUAGGCCGCAGUCCCAUCCUAUGGCGAUAAAUCAUUUGAAACAUAAACCAUUCCAGGCAUAAUGUUCUAUCGGGCAUUAUUCUCAGUUUCCCGAGGUUAUUCCCGUCCAUAGGGUAGAUUGACUACGCGUUACUGAGCCGUCUGCCUUGUAUUGCUACAAUGACUCGCAUGGCUUANUAUCAAUCCGAUAGCAGUCAGGUCCGGCAGGAUCAACCGGAA
rnacentral:rRNA from 1 species